AUUGAACGCUGGCGGCAUGCUUUACACAUGCAAGUCGAACGGCAGCACGGGUGCUUGCACCUGGUGGCGAGUGGCGAACGGGUGAGUAAUGCAUCGGAACGUGCCCAUGAGUGGGGGAUAGCCCGGCGAAAGCCGGAUUAAUACCGCAUACGCCCUUAGGGGGAAAGCGGGGGGAUCUUCGGACCUCGCGGCUAUUGGAGCGGCCGAUGUCGGAUUAGCUAGUAGGUGAGGUAAAGGCUCACCUAGGCGACGAUCCGUAGCUGGUCUGAGAGGAUGAUCAGCCACACUGGGGACUGAGACACGGCCCAGACUCCUACGGGAGGCAGCAGUGGGGAAUUUUGGACAAUGGGCGCAAGCCUGAUCCAGCCAUGCCGCGUGAGUGAAGAAGGCCUCGG
rnacentral:rRNA from 1 species